UACGUAGGGUGCGAGCGUUGUCCGGAAUUAUUGGGCGUAAAGGGCUCGUAGGCGGUUUGUCGCGUCGGGAGUGAAAAUCCAGGGCUUAACUCUGGACUGGCUUCCGAUACGGGCAGACUAGAGGUAUGCAGGGGAGAACGGAAUUCCUGGUGUAGCGGUGAAAUGCGCAGAUAUCAGGAGGAACACCGGUGCGAAGGCGGUUCUCUGGGCAUUACCUGACGCUGAGGAGCGAAAGUGUGGGGAGCGAACAGG
rnacentral:rRNA from 1 species